CCUACGGGGGGCUGCAGUGAGGAAUAUUGGUCAAUGGACGAGAGUCUGAACCAGCCAAGUAGCGUGAAGGAUGACUGCCCUAUGGGUUGUAAACUUCUUUUAUAAAGGAAUAAAACGAGGCACGUGUGCCUUUUUGCAUGUACUUUAUGAAUAAGGAUCGGCUAACUCCGUGCCAGCAGCCGCGGUAAUACGGAGGAUCCGAGCGUUAUCCGGAUUUAUUGGGUUUAAAUGGAGCGUAGAUGGGUUGUUAAGUCAGUUGUGAAAGUUUGCGGCUCAACCGUAAAAUUGCAAUUGAUACUGGCAGUCUUGAGUACAGUUGAGGUAGGCGGAAUUCGUGGUGUAGCGGUGAAAUGCUUAGAUAUCACGAAGAACCCCGAUUGCGAAGGCAGCUUACUAAACUGUGACUGACAUUGAUGCUCGAAAGUGUGGGUAUCGAACAGGAUUAGAUACCCUUGUAGUC
rnacentral:rRNA from 1 species